rnacentral:rRNA from 1 species
CAUGCAAGUCGAACGGAAAUCUUUUAGAGAAAUCUUUUAGAUUUUAGUGGCGAACGGGUGAGUAACACGUAAGCAGCCUGCCUUUUAGACGAGAAUGACAAUUGGAAACAGUUGCUAAGGCUGGAUAGGAAAUAAAAGGGCAUCUUUUUAUUUUUAAAAGACCUUCUUCGGAGGGUAUGCUUAAAGAGGGGCUUGCGUCACAUUAGUUAGUUGGUAGGGUAAUGGCCUACUAAGACGAUGAUGUGUAGCUGGACUGAGAGGUUGAACAGCCACAUUGGGACUGAGACACGGCCCAAACUCCUACGGGAGGCAGCAGUAGGGAAUUUUCGGCAAUGGAGGAAACUCUGACCGAGCAACGCCGCGUGAACGACGAAGUACUUCGGUAUGUAAAGUUCUUUUAUUGAAGAAGAAACAAUAGUGGAAAAACUAUCUUGACGUUAUUCAAUGAAUAAGCCCCGGCUAACUAUGUGCCAGCAGCCGCGGUAAUACAUAGGGGGCGAGCGUUAUCCGGAAUUAUUGGGCGUAAAGGGUGCGUAGGCGGUUUAAUAAGUCUCUAGUUUAAUUUCAACGCUUAACGUUGUUCUGCUAGAGAAACUGUUUGACUAGAGUGAGAUAGAGGUAAGCGGAAUUCCAUGUGUAGCGGUAAAAUGUGUAAAUAUAUGGAGGAACACCAGAGGCGUAGGCGGCUUACUGGGUCUUUACUGACGCUGAUGCACGAAAGCGUGGGGAGCAAACAGGAUUAGAUACCCUGGUAGUCCACGCCGUAAACUAUGAGUACUAAGUGUCGGGGUUAAACUCGGUACUGAAGUUAACACAUUAAGUACUCCGCUUGAGUAGUACGUACGCAAGUAUGAAACUUAAAGGAAUUGACGGGAUCCCGCACAAGCGGUGGAUCAUGUUGUUUAAUUCGAAGAUACACGAAAAACCUUACCAGGUCUUGACAUACUCUGCAAAACUAUAGAAAUAUCGUGGAGGUUAUCAGGGAUACAGGUGGUGCAUGGUUGUCGUCAGCUCGUGUCGUGAGAUGUUAGGUUAAGUUCUAAAACGAGCGCAACCCCUGUCGUUAAUUGCCAGCACGUUAUGGUGGGGACUUUAGCGAGACUGCCAAUGAAAAAUUGGAGGAAGGUGGGGAUUACGUCAAAUCAUCAUGCCCCUUAUGAUCUGGGCUACAAACGUGAUACAAUGGCUAUUACAAAGAGUGGCUUAAACGCGAGUUUUUGGCAAAUCUCAAAAAAAUAGUCUUAGUUCGGAUUGAAGUCUGCAACUCGACUUCAUGAAGUUGGAAUCGCUAGUAAUCGCGAAUCAGCAUGUCGCGGUGAAUACGUUCUCGGGGUUUGUACACACCGCCCGUCAAACCACGAAAGUGGACAAUACCCGAAAGCGACAGCCUAAC